rnacentral:rRNA from 1 species
UACAGAGGUGGCAAGCGUUGUUCGGAAUUACUGGGCGUAAAGGGCGCGUAGGCGGUCUUGUAAGUCCUGUGUGAAAUCCCCUCGGCUUAACUGAGGAACUGCACGGGAUACUGCGAGACUUGAGAUCGGGAGAGGGAAGCGGAAUUCCGGGUGUAGCGGUGAAAUGACGUAGAUAUCCGGAGGAACACCGGUGGCGGAAGCGGCUUCC